AGAAGCAUGUAAUCAAACAAUAAUUUGUGCAGGAAGCUAAUCCGGCGUGCACUUCGCUCGGAACAAGUUGCUGCCGGAUUCCAGCAGGAACAGGGAACAGGAACAUGAGCGUAAAAGUGACUGCUUUUUAUCGUCUCAAGAACUGAUUUUCUUUACUGACAUCUGAUGCUACUGGAAUAUAAUCCGAACCGAAAAUAUGGAUUCCUAUAGGAUAUUUUUCUCGACUUUGUGUCUGAUGUUUCAGCUGACGGAUAUUUCAGUUUGUCCGGU